rnacentral:misc_RNA from 1 species
UACGGAGGGUGCAAGCGUUGUCCGGAUUUAUUGGGUUUAAAGGGUGCGUAGGCGGCCCGUUAAGUCAGCGGUGAAAUCCCACGGCUCAACCGUGGAACUGCCGUUGAUACUGGCGGGCUUGAGUUCGGUCGAGGCGGGCGGAACUGGUGGUGUAGCGGUGAAAUGCUUAGAUACCACCAAGAACCCCGAUUGCGUAGGCAGCUCGCUGGGCCGAAACUGACGCUGAGGCACGAAAGCUAGGGUCACGAACCGG